GGGGUUGUGGCUCAGUGGUAGAGCACUUGCCUAACAUGUGUGAGAUCCUGGGUUUGAUCCUCAGCACCA
rnacentral:tRNA from 1 species